rnacentral:rRNA from 1 species
GACGAACGCUGGCGGCGUGCUUAACACAUGCAAGUCGAACGGAAAGGCCCUGCUUUUGUGGGGUGCUCGAGUGGCGAACGGGUGAGUAACACGUGAGUAACCUGCCCUUGAUUUUGGGAUAACUUCAGGAAACUGGGGCUAAUACCGGAUAGGCGCUCCUGCUGCAUGGUGGGGGUUGGAAAGUUUCGGCGGGUGGGGAUGGGCUCGCGGUCUAUCAGCUUGUUGGUGGGGUAGUGGCUUACCAGGGCUUUGACGGGUAGCCGGCCUGAGUGGGUGACCGGCCACAGUGGGAAGGAGAGACGGCCAAGACUACUACGGGAGGCAGCAGGGGGGAAUAUUGCACAAUGGGCGGAAGGAUGAUGCAGCAACGCCGCGUGCGGGAUGACGGCCUUGGGGUUGUAAACCGCUUUCGCCUAUGACGAAGCGUGAGUGACGGUAAAGGGUAAAGACGCACGGGAUAAAUACG